rnacentral:rRNA from 1 species
AUUUAUUUUUAUUAAAAAUUUAAGUAUUUUAAUUAAAAAAUUUAAAAUAAGUAAAUUUUUGUUUUAUUAUUUUUAAAGAAAAAAUUUUUUUUAUGAUAGUUUAAUAGUAUUGUGAAAGAAUAAAUAAUUUAGUUUUAAGAAAAAUUAAUUUUUUGUACCUUGUGUAUCAGGGUUUACUAAAUAAAAUAAUUAAUUAUUAUUGUUUCGAAUUUAAAAGAGUUAAAAAUUUAUUUUUUUUAUUGUUGUAUAAAUAUUAUUAAUAAAUUUUUGGUAAUAAAAUGUUAUUCGUUUUUAAAUAUAUCUAAUUUUUUAAGAAAAAAAUUUAAUUUUAAAUAUAAAUAAGUAAAAAUCUAAAUUAAUAGUAAUUUUUUAUUUUUUAUAUUUUAUAUUAUUAGGGAUAAGCUUAAUAAUAUAAUUUUAUUAUUUAAUAUGUAUUAAAAUUUAAUUUGUAAGAUUAAAAGUUUCUAUCAUAAUGAAAAUGUUAUAAUUUAUUUAUAAUUAAAUAUUAUUUGUAUAUUAUUUAUAAAUUUUUUAUUAAAAUAAUAAUUAAAAUUUUUAAAAUUAAGUAAUAAUGGUAAAAUUAGUAUAAUUUUAAUAUAAAUUUAUUUAAAAAAUUUAAGAUUAUUAUAAAGGAAUUCGGCAAAAUUAUUUUUUACCUGUUUAUUAAAAACAUGUCCUAUUGAUUUUAAUUUUAGGUCUAGCCUGCCCUCUGAGGAUUUAAAUGGCCGCGGUAUUUUGACCGUGCUAAGGUAGCAUAAUCAUUAGUUUCUUAAUUAGAAGCUGGAAUGAAUGGUUGGAUAAAAAAAUUUCUGUCUCUAUUUAAACAUUAAAAAUUUAUUUUUUAGUUAAAAAGCUAAAAUUAAUUUAAAAGACGAGAAGACCCUAUAGAGUUUCAUAUUUAAAAAUUUUAAUUUUUUUUUAGUAUAAAAAUUUUUAAUUUUUUUAAUUAUUUAAUUGGGGUGAUUGAAAAAUUAAUUGAACUUUUUUUAAAUUUAAAUCAUUAAUUUAUGUAUACUUGAGCUAUUAGUAAUAAUUGUAAGAUUUAAUUACCUUAGGGAUAACAGCGUAAUAUUAUCAAAGAGUUCUAAUCGAAGAUAAAGAUUGCGACCUCGAUGUUGGAUUAAAAUUAAUUUUUGGUGCAGAAGCUGGAAAUAUUAGGUCUGUUCGACCUUUAAAAUUUUACAUGAUCUGAGUUUAAACCGGUGUGAGCCAGGUUGGUUUCUAUCUUUAAUUUAAAUUUAAUAUUUUAGUACGAAAGGAUUGAAUAUUAAAAAUAAUUUUAUU